UUAAGUUAUUAAGGGCGCACGGUGGAUGCCUUGGCACUAGAAGCCGAUGAAGGACGUUACUAACGACGAUAUGCUUUGGGGAGCUGUAAGUAAGCUUUGAUCCAGAGAUUUCCGAAUGGGGAAACCCAGCAUGAGUUAUGUCAUGUUAUCGAUAUGUGAAUACAUAGCAUAUCAGAAGGCACACCCGGAGAACUGAAACAUCUUAGUACCCGGAGGAAGAGAAAGAAAAUUCGAUUCCCUUAGUAGCGGCGAGCGAAACGGGAAGAGCCCAAACCAAAAAGCUUGCUUGUUGGGGUUGUAGGACACUCUAUACGGAGUUACAAAGGACGACAUUAGACGAAUCAUCUGGAAAGAUGAAUCAAAGAAGGUAAUAAUCCUGUAGUCGAAAAUGUUGUCUCUCUUGAGUGGAUCCUGAGUACGACGGAGCACGUGAAAUUCCGUCGGAAUCUGGGAGGACCAUCUCCUAAGGCUAAAUACUCUCUAGUGACCGAUAGUGAACCAGUACCGUGAGGGAAAGGUGAAAAGCACCCCGGAAGGAGAGUGAAAUAGAACCUGAAACCGUGUGCUUACAAGUAGUCAGAGCCCGUUAAUGGGUGAUGGCGUGCCUUUUGUAGAAUGAACCGGCGAGUUACGAUUUGAUGCAAGGUUAAGCAGUAAAUGUGGAGCCGUAGCGAAAGCGAGUCUGAAUAGGGCGUUUAGUAUUUGGUCGUAGACCCGAAACCAGGUGAUCUACCCUUGGUCAGGUUGAAGUUCAGGUAACACUGAAUGGAGGACCGAACCGACUUACGUUGAAAAGUGAGCGGAUGAACUGAGGGUAGCGGAGAAAUUCCAAUCGAACCUGGAGAUAGCUGGUUCUCUCCGAAAUAGCUUUAGGGCUAGCCUCAAGUGAUGAUUAUUGGAGGUAGAGCACUGUUUGGACGAGGGGCCCCUCUCGGGUUACCGAAUUCAGACAAACUCCGAAUGCCAAUUAAUUUAACUUGGGAGUCAGAACAUGGGUGAUAAGGUCCGUGUUCGAAAGGGAAACAGCCCAGACCACCAGCUAAGGUCCCAAAAUAUAUGUUAAGUGGAAAAGGAUGUGGCGUUGCCCAGACAACUAGGAUGUUGGCUUAGAAGCAGCCAUCAUUUAAAGAGUGCGUAAUAGCUCACUAGUCGAGUGACACUGCGCCGAAAAUGUACCGGGGCUAAACAUAUUACCGAAGCUGUGGAUUGUCCUUUGGACAAUGGUAGGAGAGGCGUUCUAAGGGCGUUGAAGCAUGAUCGUAAGGACAUGUGGAGCGCUUAGAAGUGAGAAUGCCGGUGUGAGUAGCGAAAGACGGGUGAGAAUCCCGUCCACCGAUUGACUAAGGUUUCCAGAGGAAGGCUCGUCCGCUCUGGGUUAGUCGGGUCCUAAGCUGAGGCCGACAGGCGUAGGCGAUGGAUAACAGGUUGAUAUUCCUGUACCACCUAUAAUCGUUUUAAUCGAUGGGGGGACGCAGUAGGAUAGGCGAAGCGUGCGAUUGGAUUGCACGUCUAAGCAGUAAGGCUGAGUAUUAGGCAAAUCCGGUACUCGUUAAGGCUGAGCUGUGAUGGGGAGAAGACAUUGAGUCUUCGAGUCGUUGAUUUCACACUGCCGAGAAAAGCCUCUAGAUAGAAAAUAGGUGCCCGUACCGCAAACCGACACAGGUAGUCAAGAUGAGAAUUCUAAGGUGAGCGAGCGAACUCUCGUUAAGGAACUCGGCAAAAUGACCCCGUAACUUCGGGAGAAGGGGUGCUCUUUAGGGUUAACGCCCAGAAGAGCCGCAGUGAAUAGGCCCAAGCGACUGUUUAUCAAAAACACAGGUCUCUGCUAAACCGUAAGGUGAUGUAUAGGGGCUGACGCCUGCCCGGUGCUGGAAGGUUAAGAGGAGUGGUUAGCUUCUGCGAAGCUACGAAUCGAAGCCCCAGUAAACGGCGGCCGUAACUAUAACGGUCCUAAGGUAGCGAAAUUCCUUGUCGGGUAAGUUCCGACCCGCACGAAAGGCGUAACGAUUUGGGCACUGUCUCAACGAGAGACUCGGUGAAAUCAUAGUACCUGUGAAGAUGCAGGUUACCCGCGACAGGACGGAAAGACCCCGUGGAGCUUUACUGUAGCCUGAUAUUGAAAUUCGGCACAGCUUGUACAGGAUAGGUAGGAGCCUUUGAAACGUGAGCGCUAGCUUACGUGGAGGCGCUGGUGGGAUACUACCCUAGCUGUGUUGGCUUUCUAACCCGCACCACUUAUCGUGGUGGGAGACAGUGUCAGGCGGGCAGUUUGACUGGGGCGGUCGCCUCCUAAAAGGUAACGGAGGCGCUCAAAGGUUCCCUCAGAAUGGUUGGAAAUCAUUCAUAGAGUGUAAAGGCAUAAGGGAGCUUGACUGCGAGACCUACAAGUCGAGCAGGGUCGAAAGACGGACUUAGUGAUCCGGUGGUUCCGCAUGGAAGGGCCAUCGCUCAACGGAUAAAAGCUACCCCGGGGAUAACAGGCUUAUCUCCCCCAAGAGUUCACAUCGACGGGGAGGUUUGGCACCUCGAUGUCGGCUCAUCGCAUCCUGGGGCUGUAGUCGGUCCCAAGGGUUGGGCUGUUCGCCCAUUAAAGCGGUACGCGAGCUGGGUUCAGAACGUCGUGAGACAGUUCGGUCCCUAUCCGUCGUGGGCGUAGGAAAUUUGAGAGGAGCUGUCCUUAGUACGAGAGGACCGGGAUGGACAUACCUCUGGUGUACCAGUUGUCGUGCCAACGGCAUAGCUGGGUAGCUAUGUGUGGACGGGAUAAGUGCUGAAAGCAUCUAAGCAUGAAGCCCCCCUCAAGAUGAGAUUUCCCAACUUCGGUUAUAAGAUCCCUCAAAGAUGAUGAGGUUAAUAGGUUCGAGGUGGAAGCAUGGUGACAUGUGGAGCUGACGAAUACUAAUCGAUCGAAGACUUAAUCAA
rnacentral:rRNA from 1 species